rnacentral:rRNA from 1 species
AUGGAUGAAGAUGAGGAUGAUGAUGGCCCAAGAAAUUUGCACAAGCCCGAUGGCGACAAGAAGACUAAGGAGAAGAUGAAAAGAGAGCAAGAAGCAUCGAGCUUGAGGGAGAAGAUUGAUGCCAUGGUGCAAUCAAACGAGUCGAUGUUGUUGAAGUCGUUGGAGAUCAAGAAAGAGUUGUCCGAGAAGAAGGCAAAAGAGAAGCAAGAAAGGUGGCAAAUACUCAAGGAAGAGGGGCUCCGCAAAGCUGACAUUGAGGAGAGAAGAGCACGCGCCCCUGAAAACAAAUCCAUGCCAAUGUUGCUCGCCGAAGAGAACAAGAUCAUGACAAUGAACCACAAUGACAUGGACGACCUCACCAAAACAUGGCAUGAUAUGGCAAGGAGAGAAAUCUUGAAGAGGAGAAUGGUCGCAUCGGCCGGUCCGUGUUACAGUUACGGUGAUGUUUUCUCUGCUCCAUAUGGUGGCAAUGUGGAUGAUUUCGGUGCGGGAGUUGGAACAAGCGCCGGAGGUGUAUUCGGUUGCGUCGAUGAACUUCAAGAUGGACUCGAUGGCGCGGAGUGA